rfam:Firmicutes bacterium MLFW-2 MLFW-2_Contig_5_85X, whole genome shotgun sequence.
AUAUCCUUUAAGGACAGUCCAGUGAGGCUGACAAGGAGUUAUAGUUUAGUACCGACAAGUAUAGCUUUAUAUGUAAAGCAAUAUUUGCAUGCGGUUCAUGUAUUUUUGCCGCGGUAUAUAGAUGAUAUGAUCUCCUUCAGUCUAAUUAGACAGUUGGAGAUUUUUGCAU